rnacentral:misc_RNA from 1 species
GAUGAAGAACGCAGCGAAAUGCGAUACGUAAUGUGAAUUGCAGAAUUCAGUGAAUCAUCGAAUCUUUGAACGCAUAUUGCGCUCUCUGGUAUUCCGGAGAGCAUGCUUGUUUGAGUAUCAGUAAACACCUCAACUCCCUUUUCUUUUUUGAAAUUGGAGCUGGACUUGAGUGAUCCCAACGCUUUCUUCCAAGAAAGUGGCGGGUUGCUUGAAAUGCAGGUGCAGCUGAACUUUUCUCUGAGCUAUAAGCAUAUCUAUUUAGUCUGCCUAAAAAACAGAUUAUUACCUUUGCUGCAGCUAACAUAAAGGAGACUAGUUCUUGUGCUGACUGAUGCAGGAUUCACAGAGACAGCUUCGGCUGACUUUGUAAACUCGAUCUCAAAACAAGUAAGACUACCCGCUGAACUUAAGCAUAUCAAUAAGCGGAGGA